CCGGCACCUGCUCGCACGAGGUGUGUGUCCUCACACCAUCGUCCCGCAGCCGCCGCCGCCCGCCGGGGCUCCGUGGCCAGGCUCCCGCCAUGCUGCGGCCGGCCCGGGCGGGGGCAGCGGCACCGAGCGACGGCGGCCGGGCGGGAACACGCGGCCACGCCCCCUCCGCGCCUUUGGCCACGCCCCCCACUUGGCCACGCCCCCUUCCCUCUGGCCACGCCCCCUCCCCCGCCACCGCCCGGCUCCGGGAGCGGCGCGCGCGCGCGAAGGAGGCCGUGACGUCAUGGCGGGCCGCGCGGCGGCCGCGUGUCGCCGGAGCCUGUCGCGACAUCGCGAUGCGGCGCCGCGGCGCGCUCUUGCGCCGUUGCACGGCUGCAGUAGCUUGUGCCGUUGCAUUGCUGCGCCGUGUUGCACUGUUGCACCACGUUGCACUAUUGCACAGUUGCACCAAGUUGCAACGCAUUGCGCCGUUGCACUGCUGCACCAUGUUGCACCAUUGCACAGCUGCACUGUGUUGCAAUGCCACAUGGAUGCUCCAUGUUGCACAUUUGUGCUGUUCCGCCACAUUGCACUGUUGCAUCACAUUGCACUGUUGCACAGCUGCAUUGUUGCACGUGUUGCGCCAUUGCACUGCCACACCACGGUGCACCAUUGCACUGCAGGGCAUGGUGCACCAUUGCACAGCUGCUCCAUGUUGUACCAUUGCACUGCUGCACCACAUUGCACUGCUGUGCUGCAUUGCACCGUUGCACAGCUGCACUGUGUUGUGCAUUUGCAAUAUUGUGCCGCAUUGCACUAUUGUGCCGCAUUGCACCAUUGUGCAGCUGCACUGUGUUGCGCUGUUGCACAGAUGCUCCACGAUGCAUGUUUGCAGUAUUGCACCGCAUUGCACUAGUACCACAUUGCACUAUUGCACGGCUGCACCGCGUUGCGCCAUUGCAUGGCUGCUCCAUGUUGCACCAUCACACUUCUGCGCUGUGUCACACCACCGUGCAAUGGCACCACGGCGUCGUGCUGCACUGCUGGGGCACCGCGUUCGCUCUGCUGUGUUGCUGUGCGCUGCACCUGCACAUCAUGGUGCUGCGGGGUGGCCCCACUGCAUGACCUCACUGCACGGUGUCACUGCCCUGUGCUGCGCUGCUGCAUCGCUGAGCACGAUGCUUCCCCACGCCACUGUCCCGGUGGCGUUGCAUUGCUGCGUGCAGCCCUGCCUCGUUGCACCAUGCCUCUGCCCCACGCCACUGCAUGGCUGCACCACCGCUGCCCUGCUCCGUCUCCUCGUGCCACCACCGGGCUGCACCACACCACGAGGCCCUUGCCCAGGCCCUACUGCACGUGGGGCUGCCCCACGCUGCCCUGCUCUGUGCCCCUCACCCAAAAGCCCACCCCCAAGUGUCCCCAGCUCCAUGCCUGGGUGUCCCCCCCAACACAUCCCCACGCGUCCCCUUCCCCGUAGCCCCCCUGGUUCACCCCCAUGCCCUGGGGCACCUCCCGGUGUUCCCCGGGUGCCUCCCGUUGCAUCCCUGCAUCC
rnacentral:lncRNA from 1 species